AAGCAAUUUCGUACUUCGCCCAAGCGCCAUAAGAUUAGAUUAGUACGAUAAGUGCAGUUAACGAUACCUGGUUGAAUUCAGGCCAUAUAAUGCGAAGGUCUUUGCGUCUCAUCGUGGGAUUACUCCUCGCCAUAGACGUUGCCAUCAGCUUAAUGUCCCUAAACCCUGUGGAAUUUAGAAAAAGAGCAGGGUUGGCCAACCACACCACCUUUAUGGAGACGUCUACAGAACCUGGAAUGAUGUUCAAAUAACAGGGCAGUAUGCCUGUUUGAGGGGGCACAAUUGAGUGGGGUUUGAAAGAGAGAUGGUCCCUCGUUGCGAGCUUGGGCUAUGCCAUGAUCAUUGAAUUAGGACGUGGGAUUCAUUAUUUCACCUGGUAGAUGGUGCCUGACAUCAUUGUGCAUUCCAUCACAUCCACUCCUACCCAUCCUUAGAGGCCACCAAACCUCUUUGAUGGGACUUUCCUCAGAGAUUUACAAUCAUGAGGUUGAUUUUUUGUAUUCUUGCAUUUGGACCUUAGGAGUAGUUGAGUUGUUUCAACAAAUCCAUAUAAUUGAAACUCUGUUCUUUCCGAGAGAGGAGAGAA
rnacentral:lncRNA from 1 species